AUGUUCUCGAACACAUUAACCGAAGCCAUAGCCAAGGCUAUUUAUUCGUCUUUGGUCAAACAUACUUCUAAACAAAUAGUAGGAUACCCCUGAAUAAGCUAUUAGAAAGAGAUGGAGAAGAAAAUUGAAUUAUGUUGAAGAAAAAUGGGAGCUUUUGGCCGGACGAAGUUGUAGAGACCUCCGAACAAGAAGAAGACGACUUUUGUUUAAAAGAUAAUUGUUUUUUAUUCUGAUUUUCUUUCUUGGAAACAGAAAAGGGGUUGCAUUCCAUAUGGGUCACAAACCUUGUGAAUAUUUUAUUUAUU
rnacentral:lncRNA from 1 species